GCCAUCAGAAGAGAGAACACUCAAAUUGAGUAUGGAUAAAACUAAAUUUUUAGUUUCUAGCAUUUUCUGAUAUUAAUACUUUUUUUUUCAGCAAAUGGAUUGUUGUCUGUGUCUUUGACAUGUAAGAAGGUGGUUACUUUCAGUCUAUCCACUAUGUCUGGUUCUUAAGUGUAGUCGAAUCAAAUAUGUACAAAGGUUACACAUCAAAUUUGGAGGGGAGGCAGGGGAUGGAUGGAGCUUGAAAGUUCAUUAUCAAUGAAAUUAGAGUUCAAAGCACUGGUAUGAGGUCGUGGACUGUAUUUGUACGUUCUCUUAUGGUGAUAUAUUUUAGUAACUAUUGUAGUCUACUGCUUAGGGUGGGGACUGGGGAGGAUAUUUUUCUCCACUCCGCCAGAUAAAAGGCCUCCAAGGCUUGUUGCUUGCAUGAUUGAGGGGAAAAGCAAAUGGGGCAUGUUUGGAAACUUGGCUGCCCUGAUCAUGUUAUAGAGCAAGGGUUUUAAGAUCUCUAAGAUGAGGAAGGCUAGGAGACUUCGCAGUUUGGGGAACUAGCAAUAUCGGGAUCAAGCUUUAUCGACACUGUUAUAAAUACACCUACAUGGAUGAGUUCCAAAGUAACCGAUACAUUGCUUGCAAUAUCUUAUUUUUUUUUUUGAGAAGGCAGAGGAAGUAAGAUGCUUCUCCUAUGUAUGUAUAUAUAUAUUAAACAGUAC
rnacentral:lncRNA from 1 species